GACGAACGCUGGCGGCGUGCCUAAUACAUGCAAGUCGAACGCUGAAGGAGGAGCUUGCUUCUCUGGAUGAGUUGCGAACGGGUGAGUAACGCGUAGGUAACCUGCCUGGUAGCGGGGGAUAACUAUUGGAAACGAUAGCUAAUACCGCAUAAUAGUAGAUGUCGCAUGACAUUUGCUUAAAAGGUGCAAUUGCAUCACUACCAGAUGGACCUGCGUUGUAUUAGCUAGUUGGUGAGGUAACGGCUCACCAAGGCAACGAUACAUAGCCGACCUGAGAGGGUGAGCGGCCACACUGGGACUGAGACACGGCCCAGACGCCUACGGGAGGCAGCAGGAGGGAAUCUUCGGCAAUGGACGGAAGUCUGACCGAGCAACGCCGCGUGAGUGAAGAAGGGUUUCGGAUCGUAAAGCUCUGUUGUAAGAGAAGAACGAGUGUGAGAGUGGAAAGUUCACACUGUGACGGUAUCUUACCAGAAAGAGACGGCUAACUACGUG
rnacentral:rRNA from 1 species